UACGAAGGGUGCAAGCGUUAAUCGGAAUUACUGGGCGUAAAGCGUGCGCAGGCGGUUUGCUAAGACAGGUGUGAAAUCCCCGGGCUUAACCUGGGAACUGCGCUUGUAACUGGCAAGCUAGAGUGUGGCAGAGGGGGGUGGAAUUCCACGUGUAGCAGUGAAAUGCGUAGAGAUGUGGAGGAACACCGAUGGCGAAGGCAGCCCCCUGGGCUAACACUGACGCUCAUGCACGAAAGCGUGGGGAGCAAACAGG
rnacentral:rRNA from 1 species